rnacentral:rRNA from 1 species
GACGAACGCUGGCGGCGUGCUUAACACAUGCAAGUCGAACGGAAAGGCCCUGCUUUUGUGGGGUGCUCGAGUGGCGAACGGGUGAGUAACACGUGAGUAACCUGCCCUUGACUUUGGGAUAACUUCAGGAAACUGGGGCUAAUACCGGAUAGGAGCUCCUGCUGCAUGGUGGGGGUUGGAAAGUUUCGGCGGUUGGGGAUGGACUCGCGGGUUAUCAGCUUGUUUGUGGGGUAGUGGCUUACCAAGGCUUUGCUGGGUAGCCGGCCUGAGAGGGUGACCGGCCACAUUGGGACUGAGAUACGGCCCAGACUACUACGGGAGGCAGCAGUGGGGAAUAUUGCACAAUGGGCGGAAGCCUGAUGCAGCAACGCCGCGUGCGGGAUGACGGCCUUCGGGUUGUAAACCGCUUUCGCCUGUGACGAAGCGUGAGUGACGGUAAUGGGUAAAGAAGCACCGGCUAACUACGUG